rnacentral:rRNA from 1 species
GAUGAACGCUAGCGGCAGGCCUAAUACAUGCAAGUCAAGGGGGCAGCAAUGUCACCGGCGGACGGGUGCGUAACGCGUACACAACGUACCUCAGAGCGGGGGAUAGCAUUGGGAAACUGGUGGUAAAACCGCAUGGUGUUGUUUGAUGGCAUCAUUGGACAACUAAAGGAUACACUCUGAGAUCGGUGUGCGUCUGAUUAGCUAGUUGGAGGGGUAACGGCCCACCAAGGCGACGAUCAGUAGGGGGUGUGAGAGCAUGACCCCCCACAUGGGUACUGAGACACGGACCCAACUCCUACGGGAGGCAGCAGUAAGGAAUAUUGGACAAUGGGCGCAAGCCUGAUCCAGCCAUGCCGCGUGAAGGACGAAGGCGCUCAGCGUUGUAAACUUCUUUUGGACGGGAACAAUACCCCCGACUUGUCGGGGCUUGAGGGUACCGUCAGAAUAAGCACCGGCUAACUCCGUG